CUCAUAACGGAACACCAGAGUAUUCUAGAACAAUUCCACUGUUUUCUAGAAGAAGAAAAAACAUAGUAUUCUAGAAGCAUGCUUUUUGUUUUUAGUCUCUGUAUCAAUAGAUCUCAACGGAACUCAACCAAAACAAUGGAAUUGCCAUGGAAACGGUCAUGGGGGAAAAGAUCCCGAAUCUCUUCAUUGCCCCCCAGCAGAAUUAGCCUACAUUUAGGCUAUUGUUAACAUUUGUAUUUCACGGUAUGUUGAGGUAAAAAUCAGAGUAUAAUGCUUGUAUGGAAGUCAACCCCAACACGUCAUCAUAACCAAUCAACCGCAUUACAGUUAAAAAAAACUUCCACCACCAAUUUCUGUAUGCUAACGAUGCUAACCAGCUUAUACGAACGGGAGUUCACAUUUAGUCAGCCAUUUCUUAAAUCUAAAUAGGGACAACUUCCAUAUAUCAUGCAGCGAAAAACAGACAAGUAUAUCCAAUUUGGACUUCAGUAACCACAUCGUGGGCCUCUUACAAUACAUAAAUCAUGAUGGAUUUGACAAAUAUCGUCUCGGUGACAUCAGAUUUGUUGAAUGUGCGCCAAUCUGGUCAACGAAACAUCUUCUUUUCCACAUCUAUCUGUUAUGAUACAACAGUGUUCUGUUAGAAUCAUAUUCACAGUUCCAAAAUUCCGUUAAGUUCCCUAAAAAUUCAACGCAGGUUUUCCACAUCUAUCUGUUAUGAUACAACAGUGUUCUGUUAGAAUCAAAUUCACAGUUCCAAAAUUCCGUUAAGUUCCCUAAAAAUUCAACGCAGGUUUUCCACAUCUAUCUGUUAUGAUACAACAGUGUUCUGUUAGAAUCAAAUUCACAGUUCCAAAAUUCCGUUAAGUUCCCUAAAAAUUCAACGCAGGUUUUCCAGAAAUCCUGGUUGUAAGAUUCCCGGAAUCAGGAAGGAAUAUGCAGGAAAUCCUAGAAUUUUAGAACUUGGAUUUCUGGAAAGUCUGCAUGGAAAUAUGGGAAAAUGAAAAGCACUUUUCAAACCUGUAUCCAUACCAUGGGGUAGCCUAGUGGUUAGAGUGUAGAGGUGGUAUGGUAGCCUAGUGGUUAGAGUGUAGAGGUGGUAUGGUAGCCUAGUGGUUAGAGUGUAGAGGUGGUAUGGUAGCCUAGUGGUUAGAGUGUAGAGGUGGUAUGGUAGCCUAGUGGUUAGAGUGUAGAGGUGGUAUGGUAGCCUAGUGGUUAGAGUGUAGAGGUGGUAUGGUAGCCUAGUGGAUAGAGUGUAGAGGUGGUAUGGUAGCCUAGUGGAUAGAGUGUAGAGGUGGUAUGGUAGCCUAGUGGAUAGAGUGUAGAGGUGGUAUGGUAGCCUAGUGGAUAGAGUGUAGAGGUGGUAUGGUAGCCUAGUGGUUAGAGUGUAGAGGUGGUAUGGUAGCCUAGUGGAUAGAGUGUAGAGGUGGUAUGGUAGCCUAGUGGUUAGAGUGUAGAGGUGGUAUGGUAGCCUAGUGGAUAGAGUGUAGAGGUGGUAUGGUAGCCUAGUGGAUAGAGUGUAGAGGUGGUAUGGUAGCCUAGUGGUUAGAGUGUAGAGGUGGUAUGGUAGCCUAGUGGUUAGAGUGUAGAGGUGGUAUGGUAGCCUAGUGGUUAGAGUGUAGAGGUGGUAUGGUAGCCUAGUGGUUAGAGUGUAGAGGUGGUAUGGUAGCCUAGUGGUUAGAGUGUAGAGGUGGUAUGGUAGCCUAGUCGCUUGAGCAUUGGACUAGUCAUCGAAAGGUUGCAAAAUCGAAUCCCCGAGCUGACAAGGUAAAAAUCUGUCUGUUCUGCCCCCUGAACAAGGCAGUUAACCCCACUGUUCCUAGGCCGUACUUGAAAAUAAGAAUUGGUUCUUAAUUAACUGACUUGCCUCGUUAAAUAAUGGUAAAUAAAUAUAGAAUACUGUAACAUCUUUCGGCUAAUGGGAAGGAUUGGAUGAGGAAUCAGGGGGUUUGUGUGCCAAAUGGAACCCUGUUUCCCAGAGCCC